AACGUAACAAGGUCUCCGUUGGUGAACCAGCGGAGGGAUCAUUGCUGGAACGCGCCCCAGGCGCACCCAGAAACCCUUUGUGAACUUAUACCUUACUGUUGCCUCGGCGCAUGCCGGCCCCCCUGGGGGCCCCUCCUUCUGGAGGAGCAGGCACGCCGGCGGCCAACCUAACUCUUGUUUUUACACUGAAACUCUGAGAAUAAAACAUAAAUGAAUCAAAACUUUCAACAACGGAUCUCUUGGUUCUGGCAUCGAUGAAGAACGCAGCGAAAUGCGAUAAGUAAUGUGAAUUGCAGAAUUCAGUGAAUCAUCGAAUCUUUGAACGCACAUUGCGCCCUCUGGUAUUCCGGAGGGCAUGCCUGUUCGAGCGUCAUUUCAACCCUCAAGCCUGGCUUGGUGGUGGGGCACUGCUUCUUACCCAAGAAGCAGGCCCUGAAAUUCAGUGGCGAGCUCGCCAGGACCCCGAGCGCAGUAGUUAAACCCUCGCUCUGGAAGGCCCUGGCGGUGCCCUGCCGUUAAACCCCCAACUGGUGAAAAAAGACCUCGGCUCAGGUGAUAGGGUCGGG
rnacentral:rRNA from 1 species